GAUGAACGCUAGCGGCAGGCUUAAUACAUGCAAGUCAAGGGGGUAGCAAUACAACCGGCGCACGGGUGAGUAACGCGUACACAACAUACCAUAUACUGGAGUAUAGCUUUGGGAAACUGAAGGUAAUCCUCCAUAACAUUGCGAGAGGGCAUCUGAUUGCAAUUAAAGUUUCGGCGGUAUAUGAUUGGUGUGCGUUUGAUUAGCUAGUUGGUAGGGUAACGGCCUACCAAGGCGACGAUCAAUAGCUGGCGUGAGAGCGCGACCAGCCACACUGGAACUGAGACACGGUCCAGACUCCUACGGGGAGCA
rnacentral:rRNA from 1 species